GACGAACGCUGGCGGCGUGCUUAACACAUGCAAGUCGAACGAAGAGCGAUGGAAGCUUGCUUCUAUCAAUCUUAGUGGCGAACGGGUGAGUAACGCGUAAUCAACCUGCCCUUCAGAGGGGGACAACAGUUGGAAACGACUGCUAAUACCGCAUACGAUCUAAUCUCGGCAUCGAGGAUAGAUGAAAGGUGGCCUCUACAUGUAAGCUAUCACUGAAGGAGGGGAUUGCGUCUGAUUAGCUAGUUGGAGGGGUAACGGCCCACCAAGGCGAUGAUCAGUAGCCGGUCUGAGAGGAUGAACGGCCACAUUGGGACUGAGACACGGCCCAGACGCCUACGGGAGGGAGCAGUGGGGAAUCUUCCGCAAUGGACGAAAGUCUGACGGAGCAACGCCGCGGGAGGGAUGACGGCCGUCGGGUUGUAAAGCUCGGUUAAGCGGGACGAAAGGCCUUCUUGCGAAUAGUGAGAAGGAUUGACGGUACCGGAAGAGAAAGCCACGGCUAACUACGUG
rnacentral:rRNA from 1 species